CACGUAGGGGGCAAGCGUUGUCCGGAUUUAUUGGGCGUAAAGAGCUCGUAGGCGGCUUAGUAAGUCGGAUGUGAAAUCCCCAGGCUUAACCUGGGAACUGCAUCCGAUACUGGUCGGCUUGAAUCCGGGAGAGGGAUGCAGAAUUCCAGGUGUAGCGGUGAAAUGCGUAGAUAUCUGGAGGAAUACCGGUGGCGAAGGCGGCAUCCUGGACCGGCAUUGACGCUGAGGAGCGAAAGCCAGGGGAGCAAACGGG
rnacentral:rRNA from 1 species